AACGCGAAGAACCUUACCAGCUCUUGACAUGUCUCGUAUGGGGACCGGAGACGGUUUCUUUCAGUUCGGCUGGCGGGAACACAGGUGCUGCAUGGCUGUCGUCAGCUCGUGUCGUGAGAUGUUGGGUUAAGUCCCGCAACGAGCGCAACCCUCGCCCUUAGUUGCCAUCAUUCAGUUGGGCACUCUAGGGGGACUGCCGGUGAUAAGCCGAGAGGAAGGUGGGGAUGACGUCAAGUCCUCAUGGCCCUUACGGGCUGGGCUACACACGUGCUACAAUGGCGGUGACAAUGGGAUGCUGAGGGGCGACCCCGAGCAAAUCUCAAAAAGCCGUCUCAGUUCGGAUUGCACUCUGCAACUCGAGUGCAUGAAGGUGGAAUCGCUAGUAAUCGUAGAUCAGAACGCUACGGUGAAUACGUUCCCGGGCCUUGUA
rnacentral:rRNA from 1 species